GAUGGCGGAGGUUGGGCCCGGGAAGCUCCCCGGUGCGGGGCGAGAUGGAGCCGGAGCUCCCCCGGUGCGGGGCGAGAUGGAGCCGGGAGCUCCCCCGGUGCGGGGCGAGAUGGAGCCGGUGAUGAAGUCUUAGGUGGGGCAAUUAGACUGGACAUCAUCCUAUCUCGGAACCGGAGAACCAGGGGAGAGAGGUGGGACAGGCCUCGGGGACAGCCUGGAAGUGCUGCUGUUGUAAGGAAGGUAGGAAGGGUAGCUGAAGUUGCUAUCCUGUAUGCUGCCUCUAAUUCAUGUCCUUCGCKGCAUCAGCAGGCUGAAGUGUGGAAAUUACAUUUCAGCUGCAUGUCGGAGGCCGCCUGUCUGAUUAAUCACUUGUCAAACGUCUGAAUGGUCACUGAUCAAGGACUGGACAGACUAUAAUGAACUAUAGCUUAGACAGGACCGGACUGAACACAAGAACUGGUACCUAACUCUCAUUGAGAGGAAGUGGAGGUGUUUUCUCACUGAGGGGCAGUACAGUGCAUCUGAAAAUGACAAGAUGGAGAAUGGCUCUACUAUGGCACUAUUAAAGGGCACUUUCCCAAACACAGACUAAAAUGAGUCAUGGACUUAUAAAAGCAUGUUCAAAAGACAAUCUCCUUGUACUUCGACUUUCAUCCAGGACUCGGGUUAAUCUAUGUCCAGGAAACAGGCCCGUAGAGUACAUGAAUAUAUUAAUGAUGUGUUUUUGUUGUUCAAUGUUUCCGUGCACUGAUUUCUAUGAAAUGUUCAUAUCCCAUUUUCCACAUCUUUCUGAAGUGCACUUUAUUACUGUMUUCCAUGUUGUGGUGUUUGCCCAUUCACUGUUCCUGUUGUUUUUGUUUACACUGUAGAGGACCCCAGGACACUUGAUUCUAGAGAAUAUAGGCKAUUUUUUAAGGAUAUAUAUGCAAAGUGACCAAAUAAUUGCAGGGUAUGCCUUUUUUAAGCAUAUUUGCACUUUUGACCACACAAAAGACAAGUGUUAUACCUCAUAUUUGAAACGUUUGUUUUUUAUGGACAUAUGUAAACAAUUUUUAAAAAUUACUUUAUGCCAAAUAAUAUUGUGCAAUCUAAUUAAUUAUAUUUGUGGAAUAUUUGAAUCACUUGGUAGUUUCAGACACUCGUGUGUGUUAAAAUAAAUGUAUUAAAAUGUUUACAAUGCUGCAGGUGGAAAAUAUGUUUUGUUUACGUUUGUCAAGCAAUAAAAGUUAUACAACUUC